GUGUCCCAUGGUUUCAAGCUGGAUUUCCUGCACCUGGCCUAACUUUCUUCCCAGUUCAUGGAUCACAUUGUUUCAGCACUAGCAAAUUGCUGGAGUAAGACCAAGGUGAAGAUUUGAGUAUUCUGUCCUUUUCUACCUCUGACUGGAACACAAAGAAAACUCAACACUAUUUUCAGUCAUUCCUCUCAACAAACCAGCUGGAUCCCUAUCGUUUUUAGAGGUUUUCCACAGAACUACUACACUGAAUUCCUUCCAGAAAGGCAAACCAACAGCAUAUUCUCCUCAUCAACAGAUUUCGCAUUCACACUGUCAGAAACUGCGUGGAACCCAUACACUUCAAAGUCAUGAGGAUAAAGAAGGAGGAAUCCAACCUUGUAUCAACACCCAGAAGCCCGUGCACUUCCCCUGGUCGGAGGGUUGUCACCGAACAUCUCCAUGGGUUUUCACCGAACCAUCUCCAUUGCUCCUUCCGGAUACGGCCAUAGCAUUCGAGGGAAACUCCCUUUUUUUUUUUUUCUUCGGAUUUUCGGAUUUUUGAUGAAAGAAAAGCGAUAUGUAAUAGGAUCGAAAACUCGAAAGAGAGGAGAUUUAGCCAAUGGCUAUGGUUUCUGUAUUAGACAUUGCUACCAGUUGGUAGGGAGAAGCUCGCAUACA